UUCUGUGUUCAUUCGCGGAUUAAAAUGAUCAAAACUUUUUAUGGACAUCAAGUACUAUGAGUUGGGGUUCUACCAUAAAAAUUUAAAGUGAAAAAGAGUUCGGGAACUAUCUUUACCGGCUCAAACUUUCGGACUGCGUCAAGCUGAAUUCUCUUAUUGUUAUAUGGAAAUAUUGAGAUAAAGAUUAUAUAUGGAUGUUGGCAAAUGGAUUAUGAGAUGGUGAUUCUUGGAUGAUUAAUAGCUUAUGAGUAUAUUAGCGAUGGAUUAAAGGGGGACUUAAAGUUUAAUGGUAACUUAAUAAUGAUGAUGGUGUUAUGAGUUAGUGAUGGAUAUGGGAGGUAGCGAAUUGGUUUUAAGGAAACUGUGUUAUAUACGACUUGGGUUUUUCCAUUACUGUUUCCAUUUCCAUUACCGGGCUGUUAUUUUCAGAUUUCUCAUUUAUAUUCGGAAUAUAUUGUUAUUUUUGAAUUAUUUCUUGCCAAUUUAUGUUCUGUUAUUAUUAUUGAUGUACAUGUUUAUUGUAUCGAACUCUCCUACUAUAUUUCUGUCUCAUGUAUUAUUAGAAGAUGAUCCGGGCAAACCCUUUCCUUUCAUUUUUCCCUAACAUUUCAUUCUGCAGAGAAGUAAACAGAAUAAAUUUUUUUUGUUUUCUUUACCCCUCAUUUCUUGUUGGAGCUCAUAUUCACCUUGCUGUUGCCGUGGAUGGGUUUGGCUAGUUAUUUGAUGUUGUCUUUAUCAUAUAUUUUGAAGGUUGUGAAGCGGCGUAGAAUUCUCACCUAUCAGAAUGGAUGCAAGCCAUGCCGCUGUUUACAGGUACGUUGAAAAGAAGGUUUUUCCUGCACUGAGAAAAGCAAGUAAUGUAACAUAUUUCACACCAUGAAAGUGGCAAGUUACUGUAAAAGUGCUUCAAAAGAAUAAAGAUGGUCUACUUAAUUUGUCUAA